GAUGAACGCUGGCGGCGUGCCUAAUACAUGCAAGUCGAGCGAACGGACGAGAGGCUUGCUUUUCUGAUGUUAGCGGCGGACGGGUGAGUAACACGUGGAUAACCUACCUAUAAGACUGGGAUAACUUCGGGAAACCGGAGCUAAUACCGGAUAAUAUUUUGAACCGCAUGGUUCAAAAGUGAAAGACGGUCUUGCUGUCACUUAUAGAUGGAUCCGCGCUGCAUUAGCUAGUUGGUAAGGUAACAGCUUACCAAGGCAACGAUGCAUAGCCGACCUGAGAGGGUGAUCGGCCACACUGGAACUGAGACACGGUCCAGACUCCUACGGGAGGCAGCAGUAGAGAAUCUUCCGCAAUGGGCGAAAGCCUGACGGAGCAACGCCGCGUGAGUGAUGAAGGUCUUCGGAUCGUAAAACUCUGUUAUUAGGGAAGAACAUAUGUGUAAGUAACUGUGCACAUCUUGACGGUACCUAAUCAGAAAGCCACGGCUAACUACGUG
rnacentral:rRNA from 1 species